UGUGUGUGUGUGUAUGGACUCAGCAGUCUGUGUGUGUGUAUGGACUCAGCAGUCUGUGUGUUUGUGUAUGGACUCAGCAGUCUGUGUGUUUGUGUAUGGACUCAGCAGUCUGUGUGUGUAUGGACUCAGCAGAGUCUGUGUGUGUGUAUGGACUCAGCAGAGUCUGUGUGUGUGUAUGGACUCCGCAGUCUAUCAAUAAUUAAAAUUCCUGUGAGUUGUGUAGGAAGGGCC